rnacentral:ncRNA from 1 species
AUAAAUUCUAUGAAGGAGAAAAGUAGGCUGGUAACAGGCCCCCAGGGAGGGAACGUCACCGACUGGAAGCGUUCCCGGGUUAUGACCAACUGAAGUUCUCUCCGGAGAAGCCGGCUGAAACCAAUCAGGCAAGUAGGCCAGGACGUAUUCCUCCCACGUUACAGGGAAGGGGGUAUCGGAUUAUAUUCCUGUACCUGGCCAAGUGGAUCUGUUCCAAAAAAAUCAGAUCAACAUGGGUGGUAACGCGGUGGCACAGCCUCUCGUCCCUUGG